AGUGAACGCUGGCGGUAGGCCUAACACAUGCAAGUCGAACGGCAGCACAGUAAGAGCUUGCUCUUACGGGUGGCGAGUGGCGGACGGGUGAGGCAUACAUCGGAAUCUACUUUUUCGUGGGGGAUAACGUAGGGAAACUUACGCUAAUACCGCAUACGACCUACGGGUGAAAUCAGGGGAUCUUCGGACCUUGCGCGAUUGAAUGAGCCGAUGUCGGAUUAGCUAGUUGGCGGGGUAAAGGCCCACCAAGGCGACGAUCCGCAGCUGGUCUGAGAGGAUGAUCAGCCACACUGGAACUGAGACACGGUCCAGACUCCUACGGGAGGCAGCAGUGGGGAAUAUUGGACAAUGGGCGCAAGCCUGAUCCAGCCAUACCGCGUGGGUGAAGAAGGCCUUCGGGUUGUAAAGCCCUUUUGUUGGGAAAGAAAAGCAGCAGGUUAAUACCCCGCUGUUCUGACGGUACCCAAAGAAUAAGCACCGGCUAACUUCGUG
rnacentral:rRNA from 1 species